rnacentral:rRNA from 1 species
CUAAGAGCGAAUGGUGGAUGCCUUGACUGGUAAAGGCGAUGAAGGACGUACUAGACUGCGAUAAGCUACGGGGAGCUGUCAAGAAGCUUUGAUCCGUAGAUUUCCGAAUGGGGCAACCCAAUGUAUAGAGAUAUACAUUACCUAUAUAGGAGCGAACGAGGGGAAUUGAAACAUCUUAGUACCCUCAGGAAAAGAAAUCAAUAGAGAUUGCGUCAGUAGCGGCGAGCGAAAGCGCAAGAGGGCAAACCCAGUGCUUGCACUGGGGGUUGUAGGACUGCAAUGUGCAAGAGGUGAGUUUAGCAGAACAUUCUGGAAAGUAUAGCCAUAGAGGGUGAUAGUCCCGUAUGCGAAAAACAAACCUUAGCUAGCAGUAUCCUGAGUAGGGCGGGACACGAGAAAUCCUGUCUGAAGCUGGGUCGACCACGAUCCAACCCUAAAUACUAAUACCAGAUCGAUAGUGCACAAGUACCGUGAGGGAAAGGUGAAAAGAACUGAGGUGAUCAGAGUGAAAUAGAACCUGAAACCAUUUGCUUACAAUCAUUCAGAGCACUAUGUAGCAAUACAGUGUGAUGGACUGCCUUUUGCAUAAUGAGCCUGCGAGUUGUGGUGUCUGGCAAGGUUAAGCAAACGCGAAGCCGUAGCGAAAGCGAGUCUGAAUAGGGCGCUUAGUCAGAUGCUGCAGACCCGAAACGAAGUGAUCUAUCCAUGAGCAAGUUGAAGCUAGUGUAAGAACUAGUGGAGGACUGAACCCAUAGGCGUUGAAAAGCCCCGGGAUGACUUGUGGAUAGGGGUGAAAGGCCAAUCAAACUUCGUGAUAGCUGGUUCUCUCCGAAAUAUAUUUAGGUAUAGCGUUGUGUCGUAAUAUAAGGGGGUAGAGCACUGAAUGGGCUAGGGCAUACACCAAUGUACCAAACCCUAUCAAACUCCGAAUACCUUAUAUGUAAUCACAGCAGUCAGGCGGCGAGUGAUAAAAUCCGUCGUCAAGAGGGAAACAACCCAGACUACCAGCUAAGGUCCCUAAAUCUUACUUAAGUGGAAAACGAUGUGAAGUUACUUAAACAACCAGGAGGUUGGCUUAGAAGCAGCCAUCCUUUAAAGAAAGCGUAAUAGCUCACUGGUCUAGUGAUUUUGCGCGGAAAAUAUAACGGGGCUAAAGUAAGUACCGAAGCUGUAGACUUGAUUUUAUCAAGUGGUAGGAGAGCGUUCUAUUUGCGCCGAAGGUAUACCGGUAAGGAGUGCUGGAGCGAAUAGAAGUGAGCAUGCAGGCAUGAGUAGCGAUAAUUAAUGUGAGAAUCAUUAACGCCGUAAACCCAAGGUUUCCUACGCGAUGCUCGUCAUCGUAGGGUUAGUCGGGUCCUAAGUCGAGUCCGAAAGGGGUAGACGAUGGCAAAUUGGUUAAUAUUCCAAUACCAACAUUAGUGUGCGAUGGAAGGACGCUUAGGGCUAAGGGGGCUAGCGGAUGGAAGUGCUAGUCUAAGGUCGUAGGAGGUUAUACAGGCAAAUCCGUAUAACAAUACUCCGAGAACUGAAAGGCUUUUUGAAGUCUUCGGAUGGAUAGAAGAACCCCUGAUGCCGUCGAGCCAAGAAAAGUUUCUAAGUUUAGCUAAUGUUGCCCGUACCGUAAACCGACACAGGUGGGUGGGAUGAGUAUUCUAAGGCGCGUGGAAGAACUCUCUUUAAGGAACUCUGCAAAAUAGCACCGUAUCUUCGGUAUAAGGUGUGGUUCGCUUCGUAUUAGGAUUUACUCCGAAAGCGAAGAAACUUACAACAAAGAGUCCCUCCCGACUGUUUACCAAAAACACAGCACUCUGCUAACUCGUAAGAGGAUGUAUAGGGUGUGACGCCUGCCCGGUGCUCGAAGGUUAAUUGAUGGGGUUAGCAUUAGCGAAGCUCUUGAUCGAAGCCCGAGUAAACGGCGGCCGUAACUAUAACGGUCCUAAGGUAGCGAAAUUCCUUGUCGGUUAAAUACCGACCUGCAUGAAUGGCGUAACGAGAUGGGAGCUGUCUCAAAGAGGGAUCCAGUGAAAUUGUAGUGGAGGUGAAAAUUCCUCCUACCCGCGGCAAGACGGAAAGACCCCGUGGACCUUUACUACAGCUUGACACUGCUAUUUGGAUAAGAAUGUGCAGGAUAGGUGGGAGGCUUUGAGUAUAUGACGCCAGUUGUAUAUGAGCCAUUGUUGAGAUACCACUCUUUCUUAUUUGGGUAGCUAACCAGCUUGAGUUAUCCUCAAGUGGGACAAUGUCUGGUGGGUAGUUUGACUGGGGCGGUCGCCUCCCAAAUAAUAACGGAGGCUUACAAAGGUUGGCUCAGAACGGUUGGAAAUCGUUCGUAGAGUAUAAAGGUAUAAGCCAGCUUAACUGCAAGACAUACAAGUCAAGCAGAGACGAAAGUCGGUCUUAGUGAUCCGGUGGUUCUGUGUGGAAGGGCCAUCGCUCAAAGGAUAAAAGGUACCCCGGGGAUAACAGGCUGAUCUCCCCCAAGAGCUCACAUCGACGGGGAGGUUUGGCACCUCGAUGUCGGCUCAUCGCAUCCUGGGGCUGGAGCAGGUCCCAAGGGUAUGGCUGUUCGCCAUUUAAAGCGGUACGCGAGCUGGGUUCAGAACGUCGUGAGACAGUUCGGUCCCUAUCUGCCGUGGGCGUAAGAAGAUUGAAGAGAUUUGACCCUAGUACGAGAGGACCGGGUUGAACAAACCACUGGUGUAGCUGUUGUUCUGCCAAGAGCAUCGCAGCGUAGCUAAGUUUGGAAAGGAUAAACGCUGAAAGCAUCUAAGCGUGAAGCCAACUCUAAGAUGAAUCUUCUCUAAGCUCUCUAGAAGACUACUAGUUUGAUAGGCUGGGUGUGUAAUGGAUGAAAGUCCUUUAGCUGACCAGUACUAAUAGAGCGUUUGGCUUAUCU